UUUUCGUAGGUGAACCUGCGGAAGGAUCAUUACUGAGUGAGGGCCCCUCGGGGUCCAACCUCCCACCCGUGUUUAACGAACCUUGUUGCUUCGGCGGGCCCGCCUCACGGCCGCCGGGGGGCAUCUGCCCCCGGGCCCGCGCCCGCCGAAGCCACCUGUGAACGCUGUCUGAAGUAUGCAGUCUGAGACAAUUAUUAAAUUAAUUAAAACUUUCAACAACGGAUCUCUUGGUUCCG
rnacentral:misc_RNA from 1 species